ensembl:lncRNA LINC00581 long intergenic non-protein coding RNA 581
AGGUAUGACCACCAUCUGGGAGGAAGCUUUACCCCUUCCCUUAUCCUGUGACCCAACAAAUACCUUUGUCAGAGCAGAACUGGAAAUAUCGACAAACAGCACUGAAGGCUCCUGGUCUACCACAGGAGGUGAUCUCUAGUGAAGAAGGUUGAGAUUUGCAUGCAGAAUUUCCAGAAUGCUGAAUAUCAGCACGGAUCACUGCAAAGAAGUUGGAACUCAUCUCACAUGAACUUCUCAGGUUCUCUUACAAGACCACCAACAUUCUUCAAACAUCAGUGAAAUAAAACAGGAGGAGGGUUUCGAGCUCUGGAUCCUCAGCCUGGAAAUGUCACAAUUUAAUCCCAAAGGUUUGCUGUGAAGUUGUAAGCAUGACAGUGUGAAACUCGACAGAUUAUUCUUGAAUUCUUUGUUUGUUUUCGUUGUGACCCGACUCUCAUAAAAUUUAUGUUUUCUUCCAAACCCCCAGGGUGUGUGGUCAUAUGACUUAAAUAGAGAAAAACAUUGUCAAAACAGUAUUGAGGAGUUAUCACUUUUACAUUGUUUUAAUUAAAGAAAAAGCCUUUCUAUCCAGGUCUAAUACCAUCAUUUUUAUGGGCAUGUUAAAGUAUCUAAUCUAAUACUGUAGUUAGUAGUAGUAUUUAGUAUUUUUAGUAUUAUUAUAGUUUUAUCUGUAUCUUAAAGAAAAAGUCAAUAAAUAUGAAAACAGAGUUUGUUUUGGGAAUGUAUGCAAGUGCCCUCCAUGUUAAAAUCAUUUCAAUUUUGUGUGCAUGCACACGUGCACACACACACACACACACACACACACGGAGAAGAUCAGUGAAUAUCCUAUUCACAAAUGUUACAAGGAUUAUCUCAGGGUGGUGGGAUGAAGA